UUCUAGCUUUCAUAGUGUUGAAAGAUCCCCGAAGAGAGACCCUUACUCAAGUCUCGGGAAAUCGCGGACCCCAGACACAGAGAGACCA
rnacentral:pre_miRNA from 14 species